CCUGCCUCCAGGGCCAUUGCUGGUGGGGCUUCUGUGUCACAUGUGUGUCAAUAAGUGGUGGAGAAGAAAUUUUGUCUACUAUGCUUAGUGUUCUGUUCUAUGAACUUCGGAAUGAUUAGUAGUGAAACAAU